rnacentral:rRNA from 1 species
AGUGAACGCUGGCGGUAGGCCUAACACAUGCAAGUCGAACGGCAGCACAGUAAGAGCUUGCUCUUACGGGUGGCGAGUGGCGGACGGGUGAGGAAUACAUCGGAAUCUACUUUUUCGUGGGGGAUAACGUAGGGAAACUUACGCUAAUACCGCAUACGACCUACGGGUGAAAGCAGGGGAUCUUCGGACCUUGCGCGAUUGAAUGAGCCGAUGUCGGAUUAGCUAGUUGGCGGGGUAAAGGCCCACCAAGGCGACGAUCCGUAGCUGGUCUGAGAGGAUGAUAAGCCACACUGGAACGGAGACACGGUCCAGACUCCUACGGGAGGCAGCAGUGGGGAAUAUUGGACAAUGGGCGCAAGCCUGAUCCAGCCAUACCGCGUGGGUGAAGAAGGCCUUCGGGUUGUAAAGCCCUUUUGUUGGGAAAGAAAAGCAGCAGGUUAAUACCCCGCUGUUCUGACGGUACCCAAAGAAUAAGCACCGGCUAACUUCGUG